rnacentral:rRNA from 1 species
CUCAGGAUGAACGCUGGCGGCGUGCCUAAUACAUGCAAGUCGAGCGAUGAGGCUCCUUCGGGAGUACAUCAGCGGCGAACGGGUGAGUAACACGUGGGUGACUUGCCCCGAAGAUGGGGAUAACCUCUGGAAACGGGGGCUAAUACCCAAUGUGCUCGGUGAUUCGGUUCAUCGAGUAAAGCUCCGGCGCUUCGGGAGAGGCCUGCGGCCCAUCAGCUAGUUGGUAGGGUAACGGCCUACCAAGGCAGAGACGGGUAGGGGGCGUGAGAGCGCGGACCCCCACACUGGCACUGAGAUACGGGCCAGACUCCUACGGGAGGCAGCAGUAAGGGAUAUUGCGCAAUGGACGAAAGUCAGACGCAGCGACGCCGCGUGGGCGAUGAAGGCCUUCGGGUUGUAAAGCCCUUUUAUGGGGGAAGAGAAAAAGGACGGUACCCCAGGAAUAAGUCCCGGCUAACUACGUGCCAGCAGCCGCGGUAAAACGUAGGGGACAAGCGUUAUCCGGAUUCACUGGGCGUAAAGAGCGUUGAGGCGGUUCCGUAAGUUGGGCGUGAAAGCUCCGGGCUUAACUCGGAGAUGUUGUUCAAUACUGCGGGGCUUGAGGACAGCAGAGGAAGGUGGAAUUCCCGGUGUAGUGGUGAAAUGCGUAGAUAUCGGGAGGAACACCCGUGGCGAAAGCGGCCUUCUGGGCUGUUCCUGACGCUGAAGGCGAAAGCUAGGGGAGCGAACGGGAUUAGAUACCCCGGUAGUCCUAGCUGUAAACGAUGGAUGCUGGGUGUGGGGGGUGUAAAUUCCCUCUGUGCCGAAGCAAACGCGUUAAGCAUCCCGCCUGGGGACUACGGCCGCAAGGCUAAAACUCAAACGAAUUGACGGGGGCCCGCACAAGCAAGCGGAGCGUGUGGUUUAAUUCGAUGCUACACGAAG